UACGGAGGGUGCGAGCGUUGUCCGGAAUCACUGGGCGUAAAGGGCGCGUAGGCGGCUGGGGAAGUCGGCGGUGAAAGCCCGGAGCUCAACUCCGGGUCGGCCGUCGAGACUCCUCGGCUCGAGCUCACUAGAGGCAGAUGGAAUUCCGGGUGUAGCGGUGGAAUGCGUAGAGAUCCGGAAGAACACCGGUGGCGAAGGCGGUCUGCUGGGGUGAGGCUGACGCUGAGGCGCGACAGCGUGGGGAGCGAACAGG
rnacentral:rRNA from 1 species